UACGGGGGGGGGCAAGCGUUGUUCGGAAUUGCUGGGCGUAAAGGGCUCGUAGGCGGCCAACUAAGUCGGAUGUGAAAUCCCCAGGCUCAACUUGGGAACUGCAUCCGAUACUGGAUGGCUUGAAUUCGGGAGAGGGAUGCAGAAUUCCAGGUGUAGCGGUGAAAUGCGUAGAUAUCUGGAGGAAUACCGGUGGCGAAGGCGGCAUCCUGGACCGACAUUGACGCUGAGGAGCGAAAAGCUAGGGGAGCAAACGGG
rnacentral:rRNA from 1 species